rnacentral:ncRNA from 2 species
UGUUUAUAAAGAAGAGGUAAGAGACUAGGCUCAAUGACCCUCUAGCAACCAUCAAAUAUGAAAAGGUGCUACAUCCUAGCCUAAUUAUUAGGAAAUAUAAACG